UUUGAGGGGAAUGUUGUCUGGCUCGAGGCCACCAACUAGAUCUAUGAUUCCAUGUAUUUCAAUUGAUAAAAUUUUCCCUAGGGAUCAUUUUCUUGGUUGAGAUUAUGAUCUUUGAUCAUAAGUUUGUGACGUCGGACCAGGCUUCAUUCCCCCCAAU
rnacentral:pre_miRNA from 1 species